UCCUGCCAGGUGCAUGUUCCGGAGAUGGGGCAAAAAAUGACAGCAAAAGAGAGGAAAAAGGGAACAAGGGUGCCUGAUCUGCUCCCUUUUAUAUUUAACCCAGUGCCCACCUCUUAUCUUUACAUUUUGACAUUUUAAAAGCCCAUGUCUAGGUUUUCAAAUGAGUUCUUUUCCCGCUGGAAUUAGAGAUUUAGCUAUCAAUGCUGAAGGACAAUUAAAUGUAGAGAUGGUCAGCUGGAUCAGUUUACUCAAGUUCUGAGUGACUGUUUUCCCAUGUUUCAAAAAUUUAUUCCACCAAGGUAACCAACAUAAGCUAUAUAAGCAAAUUAAACUUGCUACCCAAGGGAUGACAUAUAAGCUGGAGAGGCUGACUAAUUCAUACACCAUUUAAAACAGAACCACUGCUGAUAGCUGUAAUUAGUUCCAUAGCAACCCUUCCUCCUGCUGCUGCAAGACUGAGACUGCUAGUCCAGCUCCUAUAACAGGAGAUAUAAAACUGUAUUUGAAAGAAUACUAUGGAACAGAUCCACACAGUGUGUGGGAUGUGCACCAAGAUAUGACUUGUGAAAAGAAUGUGAAGUGUCCUAUGUCAAUGCAGUUCAUAACUGUGCUAACACAAUUCCAUGUACUCCUUCUUGGUUAA